rnacentral:rRNA from 1 species
ACAGGUGGUGCAUGGUUGUCGUCAGCUCGUGUCGUGAGAUGUUGGGUUAAGUCCCGCAACGAGCGCAACCCCUAUUGUUAGUUGCCAUCAUUAAGUUGGGCACUCUAACGAGACUGCCGGUGAUAAACCGGAGGAAGGUGGGGAUGACGUCAAAUCAUCAUGCCCCUUAUGACCUGGGCUACACACGUGCUACAAUGGAUGGUACAACGAGUCGCGAGACAGUGAUGUUUAGCUAAUCUCUUAAAACCAUUCUCAGUUCGGAUUGUAGGCUGCAACUCGCCUACAUGAAGUCGGAAUCGCUAGUAAUCGCGGAUCAGCACGCCGCGGUGAAUACGUUCCCGGGCCUUGUACACACCGCCCGUCACACCACGGGAGUUGGGAGUACCCGAAGUAGGUUGCCUAACCGCAAGGAGGGCGCUUCCUAAGGUAAGACCGAUGACUGGGGUGAAGUCGUAACAAGGUAGCCGUAUCGGAAGGUGCGGCUGGAUCACCUCCUUU